rnacentral:rRNA from 1 species
UACGUAGGGGGCUAGCGUUGUCCGGAAUCAUUGGGCGUAAAGAGCGUGUAGGCGGCCCGGUAAGUCCGCUGUGAAAGUCAAAGGCUCAACCUUUGAAUGUCAGCGGAUACUGCCGGGCUAGAGUCCGGAAGAGGCGAGUGGAACUCCUGGUGUAGCGGUGGAAUGCGCAGAUAUCAGGAAGAACACCAACGGCGAAGGCAGCUCGCUGGGACGGUACUGACACUGAGACGCGAAAGCGUGGGGAGCGAACAGG